AAAAAGACAAACCCUGGGUUUCCGUGCCAACGUUUGACUGUCCGUUUUAUAUGAAAUUUUUUUAUAAUUAGUAUUUUCAUUGUUAUUAGAUGAUAAAACAUAAUUAAUACUUUAUGCGUGACUUAUCUUUUUAAUCUUUUCAUAAUUUUUUUAAAUAGGACGGACGGUCAAACGUUGGACAAGGAAACCCGGGUUUGUCUUUUUU
rnacentral:pre_miRNA from 1 species